ACAGGGUUUGUUUGAUUUGGUACCCAGCAUCCACCGGUUCCAUGCGUAUCCUAGCGGUCGUGGUUCGCUUGCUAACCGGGGUCAUGCGUUUCGUUUAGCCGCGUGUAGCAACUCAAAUGAACACAGAUGCAUGGAGAGAAUACGCCACAUUAGAACAAAUGCUUGAAUAGCUGCAGUUAUCCGACUGUGUGUGCGCUCUAACACCCCGGCUUGGAAAUUGAGGAGGCACAGUAACAGCGCGACAAUUGAGGCGCCGAGCACUAACAGCAGCGGAACACCUCGUCAAAAUGGCAACCCCUUAUGUGACAGACGAAUCUGGGAAGUAUAUCGCGGCAACACAGCGUCCUGAUGGAACAUGGAGGAAACCCCGGAAAGUGAAGGACGGUUACGUACCUCAGGAGGAAGUGCCAGUAUACGAAAACAAAUACGUGAAGUUUUUCAAGAGCAAACCAG